rnacentral:rRNA from 1 species
UACGUAGGGAGCAAGCGUUGUCCGGAGUCAUUGGGCGUAAAGCGCGCGUAGGCGGCCCUGUAAGUCCGUUGUGAAAGUCAAAGGCUCAACCUUUGAAAGCCGAUGGAUACUGCAGGGCUAGAGUCCGGGAGAGGGAUGUGGAAUUCCAGGUGUAGCGGUGAAAUGCGUAGAUAUCUGGAGGAACAUCGGUGGCGAAGGCGGCAUCCUGGACCGGUAUUGACGCUGAGGCGCGAAAGCCAGGGGAGCAAACGGG